rnacentral:rRNA from 1 species
AGAGUUUGAUCAUGGCUCAGGACGAACGCUGGCGGCGUGGAUUAGGCAUGCAAGUCGAACGGUAUCAUCCUUUCGGGGGUGAGAGAGUGGCGAACUGGUGAGUAACACGUAGGUUAUCUACCCUCAAGACGGGGACAACCCAGGGAAACUUGGGCUAAUACCGGAUGUGAGCAACUUUUAGUUGUUUGAAAGGUGGCGUAAGCUGUCGCUUGGGGAUGAGCCUGCGUCCUAUUAGUUAGUUGGUGAGGUAACGGCUCACCUAGGCAAUGAUAGGUAGGCGGCCUUAACGGGUGGUCGCCCACACUGGGAUUGAGAUACGGCCCAGACUCCUACGGGAGGCAGCAGUCGAGAAUAGUCUACAAUGGUCGGAAGACUGAUAGUGCGACGCCGCGUGAACGAUGAAUCCCUUCGGGGUGUAAAGUUCUUUUAUAUGUGAGCAGUGCUUCUUAUAUUAACAGUAUGGAGAGAGCGAUAUUAGCAUAUGAAUAAGCAACGGCUAACUCCGUGCCAGCAGCCGCGGUAACACGGGGGUUGCGAGCGUUGUCCGGAAUUACUAGGCGUAAAGGGCAGGCAGGCGGAUCCAUAAGUUUAUCGUUUAAGGCGUCGGCUUAACCGGCGUAGGGCGGUAGAUACUGUGGAUCUGGAAUGCGGUUGGGGAAGACAGAAUUCCUGGUGUAGCGGUGGAAUGCGCAGAGAUCAGGAGGAAUACCGAAGGCGAAGGCAGUCUUCCAAGCCGUUAUUGACGCUCAACUGCGAAGGUGUGGGUAUCAAACAGGAUUAGAUACCCUGGUAGUCCACACAGUAAACGAUAAUCACU